rnacentral:rRNA from 1 species
UACGUAGGGGGCAAGCGUUGUCCGGAAUUAUUGGGCGUAAAGAGCUCGUAGGCGGUUUGUCGCGUCUGCUGUGAAAACCUAAGGCUCAACCUUGGGCUUGCAGUGGGUACGGGCAGACUAGAGUGCGGUGAGGGUGACUGGAAUUCCUGGUGUAGCGGUGGAAUGCGCAGAUAUCAGGAGGAACACCGAUGGCGAAGGCAGGUCACUGGGCCGCAACUGACGCUGAGGAGCGAAAGCAUGGGGAGCGAACAGG